CAAUAGCGUAUAUUAAAGUUGUUGCAGUUAAAAAGCUCGUAGUUGGAUUUCUGGUGGGAGCGAUCGGUCUGGCGCUUAGCGCGAGUACUUGCAUCGUCUCCGGCCAUCCUUGGGGAGAGUCUGUCUGGCAUUAGGUUGUCGGGCAGAGGAUCCUCAUCGUUUACUGUGAAAAAAUUAGAGUGUUCAAAGCAGGCUUAUGCCGUUGAAUAUAUUAGCAUGGAAUAAUAAGAUAGGACUUUGGUACUAUUUUGUUGGUUUGCGCACCAAAGUAAUGAUUAAUAGGGACAGUUGGGGGCAUUCGUAUUCCGUUGUCAGAGGUGAAAUUCUUGGAUUUACGGAAGACGAACUACUGCGAAAGCAUUUACCAAGGAUGUUUUCAUUAA
rnacentral:rRNA from 1 species